rnacentral:rRNA from 1 species
CACGUAGGGCGCAAGCGUUGUCCGGAAUUAUUGGGCGUAAAGAGCUCGUAGGCGGUCUGUUGCGUCCGCUGUGAAAACUCGGGGCUUAACCCCGAGCCUGCAGUGGAUACGGGCAGACUAGAGGUAGGUAGGGGAGAAUGGAAUUCCCGGUGUAGCGGUGAAAUGCGCAGAUAUCAGGAGGAACACCGGUGGCGAAGGCGGUUCUCUGGGCCUGUACUGACGCUGAGGAGCGAAAGCGUGGGGAGCGAACAGG